rnacentral:rRNA from 1 species
GACGAACGCUGGCGGCAGGCCUAACACAUGCAAGUCGAGCGGACCCUUCGGGGUUAGCGGCGGACGGGUGAGUAACGCGUGGGAAUAUGCCCUUCUCUACGGAAUAGUCCUGGGAAACUGGGGGUAAUACCGUAUACGCCCUUUGGGGGAAAGAUUUAUCGGGGAAGGAUUAGCCCGCGUUGGAUUAGGUAGUUGGUGGGGUAAUGGCCUACCAAGCCGACGAUCCAUAGCUGGUUUGAGAGGAUGAUCAGCCACACUGGGACUGAGACACGGCCCAGACUCCUACGGGAGGCAGCAGUGGGGAAUCUUAGACAAUGGGGGCAACCCUGAUCUAGCCAUGCCGCGUGAGUGAUGAAGGCCUUAGGGUUGUAAAGCUCUUUCAGCUGGGAAGAUAAUGACGGUACCAGCAGAAGAAGCCCCGGCUAACUCCGUG